UAUUAUUCUAGCCACACAAUACGUACAAAACUGAAGUUUGUUUUCAAAUUUGAUUCUUAAAAAUUAAAUGAUAAAAAAUUUGAUAUCGAUUUCAGAUAAAAUCCUAUUAAAACCGAACCAAACAUCCCCCACUUAUUACAUGGCACGCACUUGUUCCAUUAGCUAAAAAAUUUCUAGCCUACAAAUAAUGAAGAAAGCAGAGCUUGUGUUCGUCCCGACGCCAGGCAUGGGCCACCUUGCAUCCACGUUGGAGGCAGCAAAGCUUCUCCUUGACCGUCAUCAUCGACUCUCCAUCACUGUCCUCAUCAUUAAGCGUUCUUCAGACACUCUCGUCAGCUCCUUCGUUAAUUCCAUAGCUAAAUCAGAUCGUAUCCAGUUCAUCGAACUACCUAAUGUUGAUGAAGGCUCCUUGGGUUUCGGUUUUAUUGAUAAACAGAUUCCCCAUGUCAAAGAAGCCGUCUUCAAGCUCACUGCUCGCCCUGAUUUGUCGCUCGCCGGAUUUGUACUGGAUAUGUUCUGUACAUCGAUUAUGGAUGUGGCUAAAGAAUUUGGUGUUCCAUCUUAUAUUUUCUUUACUUCAGGUGCAUCUUUUUUCGGUUUUAUGCUUUAUAUGCAACUUAUUCACGAUGAGCAGGAGGUGGAUCCUACUCAGUUCAAGGAUUCUGACGGUGAGUUGCCGGUGCCAAGUUUGGCUAACCCACUUCCUCCUAGAGUUCUGCCUUCUGUGGUGCUUGUAAAGGAGUGGCUUUUUUUUUUCCUCCACUACGCUAGACGAUAUAGAGAGGCUAAGGGUAUAAUGGUAAAUACAUUCAUGGAGCUGGAAUCCUAUGCACUAAACUCUCUUGGAGAUGCUAACAGUAAUAUUCCUCCAAUUUAUCCUGUGGGACCCAUAUUGAGUCUAGAGGGUGACAGCCAUAGCCAUAAUGUGGGGCCAGAUGGGAGUAAAAUCAUGGAGUGGCUUGAUGAUCAACCUCCAUCAUCAGUAGUGUUUCUCUGCUUUGGAAGCAUGGGAGGUUUUGAAAUGAAUCAAGCCAAAGAAAUUGCGUGUGCGUUAGAGCAAAGUGGACACCGAUUCUUGUGGUCUCUACGGCGGCCCCCACCAAAGGGUAAAAUAGAAUUAUCAGCUGAUUAUCAGAAUUUCCAAGAAAUAUUACCAGAAGGAUUCUUGGAUCGUACGGCUGGGAUAGGAAAGGUAAUCGGGUGGGCUCCACAAGUAGCCAUAUUGGCCCACGCAGCAAUUGGAGGUUUUGUUUCGCAUUGUGGAUGGAAUUCUAUACUAGAAAGCAUAUGGUUUGGUGUUCCAAUCGCCACGUGGCCGAUGUAUGCAGAGCAACAAUUUAAUGCCUUUUUAAUGGUGACUGAGUUGGGAUUGGGUGUGGAAAUUAAAAUGGAUUACAGGAGAGAGAGCGAAAUAAUAGUAAGCGCGCAGGAUAUAGAGAGAGGAAUACGGUGUGUGAUGGAACAUGAUAGUGAAAUAAGGAAGAGGGUCAAAGAGAUGAGUGAAAAUAGUAAGAAGGCCUUGAAGGAUGAUGGAUCUUCAUACUUUUGUGUAAACCGUCUGAUUGAAGAUGUGAUGGAUAAUUUGCCAUGAAACACCUGCCUAUUUGCGCUGUUGAGAUCUGAACUAUUUUGUGAUAAUUAUAUAUUAUAUAAAUUAAAUGUAACAUUAAUAUUUUUAAUACUAAUUUCCGAAGUUAAAAAAUGUUGAAAUUAGCCAAAAUAUCAUUACAAAAUCUAAAUUAAUAUCCAAUAAUAGCCUUAUGAGUCAUUAUAAAAU
rnacentral:misc_RNA from 1 species